rnacentral:sRNA from 1 species
CAAAAAACAUGGGAAUCUAAAUGUUUAAGUGGCAGUAGACUGGGCUUGUAUCCAGAAACUUUAAACUUAGGCCAAGAUACCCACCUGGUAUUAUCCAGGUCAAAAGCUGAGGUAAGACGGCGUUGCGGUGAACUU